rnacentral:rRNA from 1 species
UACAGGGGGUGCAAACGUUGCUCGGAAUCAUUGGGCGUAAAGCGCACGUAGGCGGUUCGUUAUGUCGGAUGUGAAAGCCCUUGGCUUAACCGAGGAAGUGCAUCCGAAACUGGCGAGCUAGAGUACGAAAGAGGAUCGCGGAAUUCCCGGUGUAGAGGUGAAAUUCGUAGAUAUCGGGAGGAAUACCAGUGGCGAAGGCGGCGACCUGGGCCAAUACUGACGCUGAGGUGCGAAAGCGUGGGGAGCAAACAGG